UGGCGGCAGGCUACCAAUGCAGUUGAAGCGCGAAAGCACUUCGGUGCUGAGUAGAUAGGCGGACGGGUGAGUAACGCGUAAGAAUCUACCUAGUAGUGGGGGACAACUCGGGGAAACUCGAGCUAAUACCGCAUACGCCCUACGGGGGAAAGCGGGGGACCUUCGGGCCUCGUGCUAUUAGAUGAGCUUGCGUUGGAUUAGCUUGUUGGUGGGGUAAUGGCCCACCAAGGCGACGAUCCAUAGCUGGUCUGAGAGGAUGAUCAGCCACACCGGGACUGAGACACGGACCGGACUCCUACGGGAGGCAGCAGUGGGGAAUAUUGCGCAAUGGGCGAAAGCCUGACGCAGCCAAUGCCGCGUGUGUGAAAGAAGGGCCUAGGGUUGUCAAGCACUUUCAAUUGGGAGGACAAAAGUAACGACUAAUACUCGUUAAGCCUGACGUUUACUUUAGAAAAAGCACCCGGGUAAAUCCGUGCCAGCAGUCGCGGUAAUACGGACGGGUGCAAGCGUUAAUCGGAAAUUACUGGGCGUAAAGAGCGCGUACGCGGCUUUAUAAGUCGGAUGUGAAAGCCCGGGAUCAACUGGGAACUGUCCGAUACUGGAGGCUAAGUGCGAAGAGGACGUAAACUCCAUGUGUAACGGUGAAUGCGUUGAUUCAUGGGGGUACCAGUGCGAAAGCGCCUCCUGGUCGACAUACGCUAAGUGGAAAAGUGGGAGCAA
rnacentral:rRNA from 1 species